rnacentral:ribozyme from 1 species
UGCCCAGCAACUCCUAUCCCUACCUCCACGCGGUACCGGCCGGAAACUAUGAGCAACCUUAGGGAAGAUCGGGUAACCAACCCCGGUGGGAACUUUGGUCGUAGGCUGACAGGGAAG